rnacentral:rRNA from 1 species
UGGGGAAUAUUGCACAAUGGGGGAAACCCUGAUGCAGCGACGCCGCGUGAGCGAAGAAGGCUUUCGAGUCGUAAAGCUCUGUCCUAUGAGAAGAUAAUGACGGUAUCAUAGGAGGAAGCCCUGGCUAAAUACGUGCCAGCAGCCGCGGUAAUACGUAUGGGGCGAGCGUUGUCCGGAAUUAUUGGGCUUAAAGGGCAUCUAGGCGGUAAGACAAGUUGAAGGUGAAAACCUGUGGCUCAACCAUAGGCUUGCCUACAAAACUGUUGAACUAGAGUACUGGAAAGGUGGGUGGAACUACACGAGUAGAGGUGAAAUUCGUAGAUAUGUGUAGGAAUGCCGAUGAUGAAGAUAACUCACUGGACAGAAACUGACGCUGAAGUGCGAAAGCUAGGGGAGCAAACAGG